UUAGCUAUAACGAACCCUAAAAUCCAGAAAAAUUCCCAAUUCUCUUAUUGUCGCAAUCAUGGCAUGGUCCAACGCGGUCUUUGCUCUCCAAGGCUCCGUUAUCGCACUCGGGAUUUUAGGCAACGCUGUACUCUGGACACAAUUCAGUCGAAACGUGCUAAAAGACUGGAUAGAUAUGAACGAGCAAGACGCUAAAAGGAUUGAUAGAUAUGAACGAGCAAGAUCUGAGUGGAGGAGGCAUGGAUAUCCGUAAGCUUCGCAAAUGAACCCGAGUACUUCUGGCUUGAUAUAAUUAUAACUACCUAAGUGUUGUGGGGAUAUCUCAUGGCUUAGUUUAGACUGUUCUGUUUUGUACCUUAAUUUUAUGGGAAUGUUGUGUAAGACAGUAAACUUGUCUGGAUAAGUAUCAAAAUCUAUCUGAUGUUUGUUUUAAUUUAGUUUAUUUUUUUUCU